UACGGAGGGGGCAAGCGUUGUUCGGAAUCAUUGGGCGUAAAGGGCGCGUAGGCGGCCGCUCAAGUCGGAUGUGAAAUCCCUCGGCUUAACCGAGGAACUGCAUUCGAUACUGGGUGGCUAGAGUCCGGGAAGGGGUAGUGGAAUUCCCAGUGUAGCGGUGAAAUGCGUAGAUAUUGGGAAGAACACCGGUGGCGAAGGCGGCUACCUGGACCGGUACUGACGCUGAGGCGCGAAAGCGUGGGGAGCAAACAGG
rnacentral:rRNA from 1 species